rnacentral:rRNA from 1 species
AACGAACGCUGGCGGCAGGCUUAACACAUGCAAGUCGAACGCCCCGCAAGGGGAGUGGCAGACGGGUGAGUAACGCGUGGGAAUCUACCCAGAUCUACGGAACAACAGUUGGAGACGACUGCUAAUACCGUAUACGCCCUACGGGGGAAAGAUUUAUCGGAUUUGGAUGAGCCCGCGUUGGAUUAGCUAGUUGGUGGGGUAAUGGCCUACCAAGGCGACGAUCCAUAGCUGGUCUGAGAGGAUGAUCAGCCACACUGGGACUGAGACACGGCCCAGACUCCUACGGGAGGCAGCAGUGGGGAAUAUUGGACAAUGGGCGCAAGCCUGAUCCAGCCAUGCCGCGUGAGUGAUGAAGGCCUUAGGGUUGUAAAGCUCUUUCACCGAUGAAGAUAAUGACGGUAGUCGGAGAAGAAGCCACGGCUAACUACGUGCCAGCCGCCGCCGUAACAC